AUGCAAGCCUCUCAAUCUCGAAUUCUUGAUGAUAUUUCAAAGCAUGAAGGGGAAUUUGUGCGGGCUUAUCCUCACCAUAUAUUCGUAUACCAGAAGCUUGGUGUCCACUUCAGAGAUGUAGCCGAGCAGCUUGAAGAUGUUUCUGUGCCGUAUGCCGCCCAGCACGGUGGCCGCCGACUCGAACUGUUUGUCAAGCUCCGCCUCCGUGACCUUGUUCCAUGCCCACAUCUCAGAAGAUUUAUCUUCGUGCCCUGUUUGACACAAAGGCCACUGUUGGCGAGGAAGCAGUGCUCGUACGAUGCAAUUUGCAGCGACAGUGGCACCUCGCCCAUGAGGUCGUUGCAGGACAGGUUCAGCACACCGGAGUUCAGGUUGUUGAAGCCCAGAGGUGUCCCGCCGGUGAGCUCGAUCCAGAGGAACAAGAAGAUUGUUUUGGACAUUUUCGUUGCUGUGAACAAAGCGAAACCCUCGGAUGAGAGCUCCGAGUGA
rnacentral:rRNA from 1 species